rnacentral:lncRNA from 1 species
GUAGUUUAUGCCCAUCCACUUUCUUCUAAGUUGUUUUCAUCCACCACCUACUUGCCCUUCAUACUGGGGAAUUGGACCUAACAAUAGAAAUUGUCAAGAACGGGUGGUUUGGAGAGACUGGAGCCGGAAUCCAGAUGUGCAUUCUGCUCCAGUACAAGGCGAUGAACCAGGAUUGCUGAGUGAACACGGUUCAAGGAGAGUUUUCUAGUUAUAUUAAAUGUCUUGAAGCAGGACAUAUAGUUUGCUACAAGUGGUGUUGAUGAAUCACACAGAUGCACAGAGGGCAGAAGGCACCUGUGGAAGAGUGUGUCUGGACACAAGUCCUUUGGAGAAUUCCCUUUGCUAAGAGAAGUCAUACCAUUUGGUGGGCAGGGCACAGAUUCCAGAUUCAUGGGUUCUAUCAUUUGGAGGCUGGGGCCUCCAAGAAAACUGAGAUGGCAUGAAGGCCCCCCUCCAAACCCCAGAUCUUGCAAUCAAGUCAGAAUGAUUUCAGGCAUGUCACUCAGAGUAAUGGGAACAAGUUUAUUGAAGCGAUAGGAUCACCUGAGUGGUGACUGGAGGCAGGUGGGGUGUGGCUGGAGGAGGUGGCUC